GAUGAACGCUGGCGGCGUGCCUAAUACAUGCAAGUCGAGCGAAUGGAUUAAGAGCUUGCUCUUAUGAAAUUAGCGGCGGACGGGUGAGUAACACGUGGGUAACCUGCCCAUAAGACUGGGAUAACUCCGGGAAACCGGGGCUAAUACCGGAUAACAUUUUGAACCGCAUGGUUCGAAAUUGAAAGGCGGCUUCGGCUGUCACUUAUGGAUGGACCCGCGUCGCAUUAGCUAGUUGGUGAGGUAACGGCUCACCAAGGCAACGAUGCGUAGCCGUCCUGAGAGGGGGAUCGGCCACACUGGGACUGAGACACGGCCCAGACUCCUACGGGAGGCAGCAGUAGGGAAUCUUCCGCAAUGGACGAAAGUCUGACGGAGCAACGCCGCGUGAGUGAUGAAGGCUUUCGGGUCGUAAAACUCUGUUGUUAGGGAAGAACAAGUGCUAGUUGAACAAGCUGGCACCUUGACGGUACCUAACCAGAAAGCCACGGCUAACUACGUGCCAGCCGCCGCGGUAA
rnacentral:rRNA from 1 species